CCAGUCGGCUGGCGCGGGGAGGUGCAUGUCCGUGGCCAGGAAGACUAUCUCCGCCCCUUGCAGGAUGUCAAUCCUGUGGAUUUGCCGCAGCAUCCCAACAGGAACACAAUGGUCAUACCUAUGGAGAGAAUGAGUCACCUGCCCAAGAUCACAGAGCUCACAGAGCUGAAGUUGGGAGUGGAACUGAAUGACCUGGAGCCAUGCUGGGACCGUUACUAAAUAAGAGGGCCCAGUGGAGACAACAUCAUGUUGAGAAAUAAUCUGCGUGGACCCCACGUGAAUGCUCUCGCAGACACCCGCCACUUAGAUAUCAAUUCCUGCACAGCUCCGGAGGAUCCUAAUGCAAGAAACACCGAGUCGCAUUAACCUGCGCGCUGCCAGGAGCUAGGCUACCGCCAGACUGGAAGGGCUAGUAAGGAAGGAGAGUGUGUGUGAACCAGUGCGUGCCCCCUUCACCAUUUAUUUGCUUUUUUGCUGUUUAUGAAUAAAUAAAACAUCUUAGAACAUUUUC